ensembl:lncRNA
GUGGAAGGGAAGGAAAGGAAGCAGGACUGAGCAGAGUGACAAGUAGAGCUUUGAUGCGUCUCAAUGGAAAACACAGAUGGGAUAACCCUUCAGAGCCAUCCUGAGUCCAAGAGGGCUGGAACUCGAUACCUGUGUGUUGAGCAGUCGUUGGAUGCAGCCUGGAAUGAAGCAGCUCUCUUUAGCCAAAGUAAUCUCCAAAUGCAGCUAACAAUUGAGGACUUCCUGCCAACAGCACUCCUGGUAGCUGGAAGAAUAAGUCCUUCAUUCCUGGAGGGGAAGAGGUCAUAGGAGUGGACAGAGAGAAUCAGUUGGUGAUUUCUUUUACUAUCAAGAAGGGAUUCCUGUUUAAGGAAGGAGAUUGAAUCGCUUAAUUUCCCUCCAAUCUGAAGCUACAUCUGUCCUAUCAUUCUAUACUAAUUAACAAUAAUAAAUAACAAUUGAAUUCUGCUCUGUGGUUUACACAGUUUUUUGAAAUAUGUUAUUUUAUUUGAUCCUCACAACUAACUUAUGUGACAGGCUUCAGCUGGUAUUGAUAGUCUUACUGUAGAGAUGAAGAACCUGAGAA